rnacentral:lncRNA from 1 species
GCCCCAGCUAGUAGAGGUAACCUGCUGCAGUCCUUUCCUGGAAGUUUUGUUCUUUGCAAUAAAUCUUGCUGCUGCUCACUUUUUAGGUGUGCUUUACCUUUACGGGCUGUAACACUCACUGUGAAGGUCUGCAGCUUCAAACCACAAACCCACCCCCGCUGGGAGGAAUGAACAACUUCAGACGGGCAGAGCAAACAACUCCAGAGGGGCCGCCUUAAGAGCUGUAACACUUAAUGGGAAGGUCUGCAGCUUUACUCCUGAAGCUAGCAAGACCACAAACCCACCAGAAGGAAGAACCUUUGAACAGGUCCGAACAUCAGAAGGAACAAGCUCUGGAUAUGCUGUCUUUAAGAACUGUAACACUCACGGCGAGGGUCUGCAACUUCAUUCUUGAAGUCGGUGAGACCAAGAACCCACCAUUUCCAGACACGGAAUCUGGCCAUGACAUGUAGCUGGGUGCUUCUGCCUCAAGAUUUUGUGCAAAUUUGCAAUCAAAUCAUCUGCUAGGACUGUGGCCUCAUCUAAAGACUGAGGAAGGAACUGCUUUCGGGUUCACCUACAUGGCUGUUGGCAGGAUUCAGCCACACAUACACCAUCACCGUGGGGCCUGUCCUCCCGGCUGUUCACAGAGACCCUUCUCAGCUCCUGGCCACACAGGAGCCCCCACAGGGCAGCUCACAACACACAGCUGCCUCCAUUUCAAUGGGCAAGGAAGAGAACCACAGAGCACAAGAUGGAACCCAGAGACUUUUGUAACCUCACCUUGGAAGAAACAUAAUCACUUUUGUCAUAUUGUAUUUAUUAGAAGUAAGUCACUAGCUCAACCCACCCUCAGGGAAGAAGUUUCCAUGAGGGCAUGGUUACUUACCAUAAGAAAGAGUCAAUCAACUCUGCUCCCGAUCUCUGCAAAGCUUCCAAUAAAAGUUAAACAACUAGUUUUGGCUAGUGCAUAUCCACCCAAACUGUUUUUAUUAUGUGAGCUUUAUGUUACAAAAAGCAAC